rnacentral:rRNA from 1 species
ACGAACGCUGGCGGCAGGCCUAACACAUGCAAGUCGAGCGGACCUUUCGGGGUCAGCGGCGGACGGGUGAGUCACGCGUGGGAAUAUGCCCUUCUCUACGGAAUAGUCCUGGGAAACUGGGGGUAAUACCGUAUACGCCCUUUGGGGGAAAGAUUUAUCGGGGAAGGAUUAGCCCGCGUUGGAUUAGGUAGUUGGUGGGGUAAUGGCCUACCAAGCCGACGAUCCAUAGCUGGUUUGAGAGGAUGAUCAGCCACACUGGGACUGAGACACGGCCCAGACUCCUACGGGAGGCAGCAGUGGGGAAUCUUAGACAAUGGGGGCAACCCUGAUCUAGCCAUGCCGCGUGAGUGAUGAAGGCCUUAGGGUUGUAAAGCUCUUUCAGCUGGGAAGAUAAUGACGGUACCAGCAGAAGAAGCCCCGGCUAACUCCGUG